rnacentral:rRNA from 1 species
AGAACGAACGCUGGCGGCAUGCCUAAUACAUGCAAGUCGAACGAACUCUUCGGAGUUAGUGGCGCACGGGUGCGUAACGCGUGGGAAUCUGCCCCUUGGUUCGGAAUAACAGUUGGAAACGACUGCUAAUACCGGAUGAUGACGAAAGUCCAAAGAUUUAUCGACCGAAGGGAUGAGCCCGCGUAGGAUUAGGCUAGUUGGUGAGGUAAAGGCUCACCAAGGCAACGAUCCUAGCUGGUCUGAGAGGACUAGACUCACGCCACACGUGGACUGAACGACACGGCCCAGACUCCUACGGGAGCAGCAGUAGGGAUAGUGACA